CAGAAUCUGGUUGUCCUUAAUGGGUGUAGAUUGGAUUCUGCCUCCCGUCCUUUUUACAGGCUCCUUCACUCACACACAGACAGAGCUGCAGUGCUAUUCUGAGAGAGUUAGCUGCCUCAACCCACGCACAGAAUCUGAGGAAGGCAGAACGAGAGAGAAUAGAGGAGAAGGACACGGAACAAGAGGAAUGAAGGAGUGAGAAAGAGACUGUGAAGGAGGUUUAAAGAAUUCCCACUAUAGUCUCUCCACAUGCACGCAACGCCUUUUACAGUUUUACAUUUUGCCCCCUUUUAACUGCUCCAACAGCGGCUGAUCCACAGUCUCGAUUAGCGCUCUUCUGCGCGGCGCUGCCUGCAAAUUGCAGGUCUGUUUUUGCGACGCUGUUUGUGUGAUGUGCUGUGUUGUAUUGCGGACACAUUCCAGGUGGGGUCGACGUGUAAACUCGUGUGAGAAAAUCUGGAAAUCAAGCAGAACAUUUAGAGACGACAGAGGGAGACUUUUGAAACAGUCGGUUGGAGAACCGCUGCCUUUUGUGUUUCUCGUUUUUUCUCCCCCUGAACUCUCCUCAGAAGGUCAGAGGAGCAUGUAACUGAAACAAGUGGAGCCCUCGGUGAUUUCAGCAUUCUGUCUCCCCCAUCUGUGCCUACUUUCUCCGCUACAGAUAGGGACAUUUUUGAUAAUUACAUAUAAUUAUAAUUUCUGUGGGAGACGGAUCUGCCUCUGUCUAUUAUUGCCAACACCUCCGACACAAUAACUUCACACAUUUACAUAUUUCUCAACAAAAGUGAUAUUCUUUGAACAAAUCAGGAAUGAUUUUACUUCGAGAGACAUGUCACAUGGAGAUGCAAUGUCUCAUUCAGUUCACAUGUAAUUAAUGAUUCCGUUGAAUGACGGGUAACUUUUUGUGGCUAAACGCUGAAUAGAGAGCAUUUAAAAUCCAGAACGUUUGCCUCAUUUUGCAGCGCUGGGAGUCAGUUCCUUGGUUUAUGCUUACUCUUGAUUUUCAUCUGUUUCAGUCUUCUAGCACUCAAGCUGAGUUUCCCUCAUUAUCGCCCCCCUGCUCAAUCACAGUUGCGGUCGGUACCAGACGACGACGGAUGCACAUGAAUCCAACACCGGAAAAGAUUGAGAUAAAGAACACGGUGUAUCUACAGAUGUGGCGUUGAGAUUCGUGCUCUAGAGAGGCUCAGCAUCCUUAACAGACAUCUGUGUCUGUUGACCCCAUUUGAUUACUUACAAUGCUGAUAAACCCAAUAUAUAGGAAGUGCGUUAUAG
ensembl:lncRNA